GUCCCUACGGGAGGCAGCAGUGAGGAAUAUUGGUCAAUGGGCGGAAGCCUGAACCAGCCAAGUCGCGUGAGGGAAUAAGGCCCUACGGGUCGUAAACCUCUUUUGCCGGGGAGCAAGGGCGGGGACGUGUCCCGGCCCGGAGAGUACCCGGAGAAAAAGCAUCGGCUAACUCCGUGCCAGCAGCCGCGGUAAUACGGUGGAUGCGAGCGUUAUCCGGAUUUAUUGGGAUUAAAGGGUGCGUAGGCGGGCUUUUAAGUCAGCGGUCAAAAUUCGUGGCACAACCCCGUCCGGCCGUUGAA
rnacentral:rRNA from 1 species